rnacentral:rRNA from 1 species
CCUACGGGCGGCAGCAGUGGGGGAUAUUGCACAAUGGGGGGAACCCUGAUGCAGCGACGCCGCGUGGGUGAAGAAGCGCCUCGGCGCGUAAAGCCCUGUCAGCAGGGAAGAAAAUGACGGUACCUGAAGAAGAAGCCCCGGCUAACUACGGGCCAGCAGCCGCGGUAAUACGUAGGGGGCAAGCGUUAUCCGGAUUUCCUGGGUGGAAAGGGGGCGCAGACGGCGAUGCAAACCAGGAGUGAAAGCCCGGGGCCCAACCCCGGGACUGCUCUUGGAACUGCGUGGCUGGAGUGCAGGAGGGGCAGGCGGAAUUCCUGGUGUAGCGGUGAAAUGCGUAGAUAUCAGGAGGAACACCGGUGGCGAAGGCGGCCUGCUGGACUGCAACUGACGUUGAGGCCCGAAAGCGUGGGGAGCAAACAGGAUUAGAUACCCUUGUAGUC